CGCAUAUCCCCCAUUAUUAGACCUGUGGGCGCGAUAACUCACCCAUAUCCACCCCAUAUGGGCGCGCCUCACACCUGACCACCCCAUAGUCUCUCCCAUAUCCCCCAAUAUCCCCCAUAUAACCCCACUAUCCACCCAUAUCCCCCAUACAUGACCACCGAUAACCACCCAAUAUCCCCCAUAUCCCCCCAUAUAACCCACAUAUGCCCCCGCGCAUAUAACCCCAUAUAACCGACCCAUAAUCCCACGUGCUUUCCCAUAUCCACCCCAUAUCCCCCCAUAAUUAACCCCAUCAUCUCCCUAUAGGGGUCGAACAAUCCCGCACUCAGACUCAGUUUGUGCCAAUGGGAUUUAGUAGCAAAUACAGCACAAUGGGGUGGGAUAUAGGGGAUGGGGUAUAGGGUAUAGGGUAUAGGGAUCAGGCGUGAUUAGGGUAUUCGGAUAUAGGGUAUAGGGUAUAGGGUAUAGGGUAUAAUAGCUGGGGGGGUUUAGGCGCUUAUAGGCGCACGCCCACUAUCCAGGGGAGUCUUAUCAGGUGCCCCAUAUCCAGCGCGGGUUUUAUAGGGCUGGUUAUGGGGCACCCCAUAUCCAGGGGGGUUUAUAGGGUGGGUUCAUGGGGCACCCCAAUAGUCCGGGGGUUGUAUGAGGGUGCCCAUAUCCCAGGGGGGGCUUUAUAGGUGGGUUAAAUAGGGGCCCCCCAUAUCCAGGGGGGUUGAGUAGAGCUGGCUAAAUCAUGGGGCCACCCUAUCCAGGGGGGGUUUAUAGCGGCACCCCAGUAAAUCACCAGGGGGUUGUAUAGGGGUGCCCCAUAUGCAGGGGGGGGCUUAUAGGGUGGUUAUGGGGCACCCCCAUCGAUCCAGGGGGGG
rnacentral:lncRNA from 1 species